AUAUAUGUAUGUAUAAGUUGAAUUCUGAAACGAGAUCAUUUUUCAAAAUGAACUUUUGAAAGAAAGUUGAGGCCAUUUCUUUUUGUGGGAGUGUUCAUGAUCUUUUGGGAGAUUGCAGCAAAUCCUGUUUGGUUUGUACACAGUUUGAUGGAGCUCCACCCCACCCCAGUUGGGGACAAAGUUGCAUAAACAGUAACUCAAUAAUUAGGAAACCCUGCACAUCACCUUCUUCACUCUCAUUUUCUUACAUCUCAAAGCCCCCUUAUCAACAAAAGUAUCUCCGUUUUCAAAGCAAAUUCAUUCAUUUUCAGUCAUUUCAGUCAAAACUCUCAAAACUAAAGUUUGGAUCUUUGUAGGAUCAAACCUAGUUUAGGUUCUACUCAAUGGCAUCCAUAGCCUCGAAAGAAUUAGCUGCCAAUACCCCUGGCCUUCAUACUUCCCCUGACGAAACCAACAAAGGCUACUUGGUGCUGCAAACUGUUGUGUCUAAAUAUCUGAAGUGUUUAUACAAAUUAAUUGGGAUACUGAAAGUGACCAGGAGUUCAAAGGAUACCAAACCGGGAAUUCAGAACCUUUAGGCUCUGGUAUGAAUAGUUUUUGCCUCUUGUAAUAUGUGGAUUUUUGUUAAGCUUUGGCCUGCAUUGCAACAAAAGACCAGCAGCAAAUUCAGCUCAACUUCUGCAGCAACACUGUUCUGAAGUGAAGAAAUGAAACUGGACAUAUUGGCAUCACCCUGGAUGAUACAAUCAAGGCAUGUGAGAGAUUCCAACGCCUUGGAGUAGAGUUCAGCAAAAAACAAUUAUGUAAAUCACAUGGAGAUUAUUUAAGACUAGAGCAUGCAAAAAUUUUCUGAAAGUGCUUUUGUUCAUGCCUAGUUUAUCAAUCUCAUUUGUACGGUAUGCAUUCAUCAGUGGUUACUGGACCGAAAUCUGUGAUAUGACUACUAUUGGAGAAGUAGUUAGAUAAUUUGCCUAAGUGCUUCACAAGCCUCAGGAAACAACAAUGGCAUAUGUUGCAGAUUUCAUUUGCCAUCUCGGUUUCAGUGUGGCGGUAUGUAUUCCUAUACAUCAUUUCUUCUGUUUCCGGAACUCAUUGAGGGAAGAACUCAGCCCCACCUCCAUGAAAUCUUAAUUGAACCACUUUUCAUUCCAGUGUGUCUACGUUUUCUGCAUGUCUGAUAUGUAUCAUCUAUGUGAUGGUAGAAACUUUCAACCAUUGAAUCAUGGAUAUAAUACUUUUUUGAGAACUUGUUUCUACAA